CAUUACACCAACAAAUGGCAAAAACCGUCAUCAACACCGCAAAAGCGAGAGUAGA
rnacentral:tRNA from 1 species